UUGCUGGUCCCUCACACACCUGUCAAUCACUGCGGAUGACACCCACCUUCCGAUGCUCAUCCUUUAGCUUCCGGACCCCACGCUCUCUGGGUUUGCCUCCUAGCCCCAAGGCUACUGCUCUGCAGAUGCCUGUCCUGCCUGCUCCCAGCAUGUCUCCACUGGGGUCUGCCCAAGCCCCCGCUCUUGCUCUCCAGACAAGCUCACCUACUCCCAAGGCUUCAUCCCCCUCUCUACCUGCACAACUUCUCCAGGCCAGCAGAACGGUCCCCUAACCCCUGGGUGAGCACUGAGCGCCUGUCACAGAAGGUACACAGAGAGGUCAACGGUGCUGGGGCAGGUACCCGCAGGGCUGUUGUGAGAAGUCAGUGGGAUCAGCGGUUGGGGAGCACUGAUCAGGAGGAAGGGGUGUGGGGCCAUGCCAAGGGGGGGUUCCUUGUCACAGAAAGAUCAGACAUUGAGAAAAGCCUGUAAGAAGGGGGAAGGGAGGAAUAGGGAGAAGACGGGCAUUAGAUGGUGUCAGUCAGAAGGGAAAUUACUCUAGGGGAGAGACUUGUGCUUCUGGCUGGUGGGGUAACAGGGACUGGAUUUACCCUUCUGCCGUCAAACAGUGACCACAAUAAACAAACCAGAAAACCGAAUGAAAUGUAUGAAAAAGUGGUGUCCAGACACAGAACAACUGGCAGUGUCUCCUAAGAGAAGGGAAUGCACGAGCUGAGCCCCUCUCACGGCCUGGAGUGUCCAGGCCAAACAAAAAAAGAAGGGAAGUAAUCUCAUGGAGUAGAGGAGACCCAGGGAGUCCAUACCCAAGAAGAGGAAGACACAGAGAGAGCUCCACAUAUAUCCUGAGGGCUCCCCUUGAGUCUCUGGCUGAGGACUGGUCUGCAUGCACCACUGAAACAUGAGAACAAAACAGCCCCAGGAAGAGUUAAUAUUCCUACCUGGCAGGGUAGAAAGACGUGCUAACACAGGGGCAUAAAGCAGAAUCCUCAGAAGGAAACUGCCUCAAUAUGGAGUCAGAUUAGGCUAGAUUAAAAGCUGUCCAGACCCACCCCAAUAGAGCUUAAACGUAAGCCUCAAAAGAAUCAGACUAAUUCCAAAUAACCUCAUUGUGUCCCAGAACAAAGCCCAAAAACAUUUAAAAGAACACAAAACAUUCCACACCUAAGCAAAAGUCACAAUGUCUGGCAUCCAACCAAAAAUCACCAAACAUACAGAGAAGUAGGAAAACGUAACGGAUAACCAGGAAGAAAAUUAAUCAAUAAAAACAGACUCAGAAAUGUCACGGAUGACAGAAUUAGUAGACACUGAAACUAUUGUAAAUACAUUCCACAUGGCUGAGAAAAUAGAGGAAAGCAGGAGCAUGAUGAGAAGAGAAAUAGAAUUUAAACCAAGCUGAAAGUCUGAAGGUGAAAAAUACAGUAUCUGAAAUGAAAUGAAAAAAAUACUGAUAGGAUUAAUAGCAGAUUGGACAUUGAAGAAGAAAUGAUUAGUAACCUUGCGGACACAGUAACAGAAAUGAUCUAACACACGGCAGGAAAGAAAAGUGAAAAAAGGAAACAACAGAGCAUCAGUGCAGUGUAGGACAAUAUAAAGCAGCCUAACGUAUGUGUGAUGGGAUUCCCAGGAAAGAGACUGGGGAAGCAGGAUGGUAGACUCACAGAGCCAAAAGCUCAAACUCAAGAAACAUGAAGGAAACUACGGCAAGGACCAUCUUAAUCAAAUUAUCGGUGAUCAGUGAUAAAAAAAAAAUCUUAAAAACAGCCAGAGAAAAAGAUAGCUUAAGUACAAAGGAACAAAAAUAAUGACAGAAUUGCUACUAUUAUAGCUUGAGAGUGAGGGCCCGACUGGGCCCACUGCCUGUUUUUGUAAAUAGCCACACCACACACAUAGUUCUGCUGCAACAGCAGAGUUGAAUACUUACAGAGGCCAUAUGGCCUGCAAAGCCUAAAAUAUUUAUUAUCUGCCUUCUUAUGGGAAGUUUCCAACUCCUGCCCUAAAGUGACAACAGAGACAUAGCUAGUAAGACAAUAAGCGAUAAAAUGCAAUCAUAAAAAAUGCUCAAUCCAAAAGAGUCCGGGGAAAAAAGGGAACAAAACAGAUGGUACAAAUAGAUAAUGGUAGCAAGAUAAGAGAUUCAUACAUAAUCAUAUUGAUAAUUACAUUAAAUGUAAAUGGUCUAAACACUCCAAUUAAAAGGCAGAAACUGUCAGAUUAGAUAAAAUGCAAGAACCAAUAAGGUGUCUAUAAAAGAAAUUCAUUUAUAUAGAAAGACACCAAUAGGUUAAAAGUAUAAGGAUAAAAAAGGAUACACCUGGCUAAUAUUAAUCAAAAUAAAUUGAGACACCUGUAAUUAACAUCAAACAAAGUAGAUUUCAGAACAAAGAAUGUUAUGAGGGAUAAAGAUGGUGAUGUUAUAAUAAUAAAGAGAUCAGUUCAUCACCAGCACGUAACAAUCCUAGAUGUGGUUGCAGAGUUUCAGUGUACAUAAAUCGAAAACAAUAGAAAAGAGAAAUACACAAAUCCAUAUUAUGAUUAGACAUUCAAUAUCCUUUCCCCAAAUAGUGAUAGAAUGGUAAACAAGUAGCCACAAAAACUGGUAAGAAUCUCGAGUUAAACAAUGCUAGCAACCAAACUGAUCUAAUUUGACAUUUCCAUUACUGAGGAAAUACACUGUGAUAGUAGAAAUAAAUGCGCUAAGUAAGCCACUGAAUUCAGAGACCACACACUCCUCAGAGAAGAGAUACAAUGAGGAAGAGGUGGUUAGUUUGAGAAGCAUUUCCAUUCCCGGAACCACACACACAAAGAACAGAGCUGGCUGUCAAGUGAACAGUGGAUUAACAGUCACUCUGGUUACAGGAUCUCUGCUCACGUUAACCAUUUUAUAAUGAACACACCCAUAGACGCCCUACCCAUGGGUGGAGACAGAGAGAGAAUGAGAGAGAGAAAAUCAACACAGGAUGCCAUCUAAGCCAUCAAUACAGUGCACCCUGUGCCGGGUAGGGCUUCCUGCAGUCCAGGCUGCCUAACGCCACACGUGUGCCAUGCUGUCCCCACUGCCUGGGACGCUCUCCUCCUCCCACCCUUGGCUCAUCAGCCCUUCCCCUCAUCAGGAGGACGGCCUGCCUGCUCUGUGUGCGGGGGACCAGAACCGGCUGCUCUCACCUGCU